UACGUAGGGGGCAAGCGUUGUUCGGAAUUACUGGGCGUAAAGGGCGCGUAGGCGGCACGGCAAGUCAGGAGUGAAAGCCCUGGGCUCAACCCGGGAACUGCUUUUGAAACUGCCGAGCUAGAGUGCGGAAGGGGCAACUGGAAUUCCCAGUGUAGCGGUGAAAUGCGUAGAUAUUGGGAAGAACACCUGAGGUGAAGGCGGGUUGCUGGGCCGACACUGACGCUGAUGCGCGAAAGCCAGGGGAGCGAACGGG
rnacentral:rRNA from 1 species